GAUGAACGCUGGCGGCGUGCCUAACACAUGCAAGUCGAGCGAUUUACUUCGGUAAAGAGCGGCGGACGGGUGAGUAACGCGUGGGUAACCUGCCCUGUACACACGGAUAACAUACCGAAAGGUAUGCUAAUACGAGAUAAUAUGCUUUUAUCGCAUGGUAGAAGUAUCAAAGCUUUUGCGGUACAGGAUGGACCCGCGUCUGAUUAGCUAGUUGGUAAGGUAACGGCUUACCAAGGCGACGAUCAGUAGCCGACCUGAGAGGGUGAUCGGCCACAUUGGAACUGAGACACGGUCCAAACUCCUACGGGAGGCAGCAGUGGGGAAUAUUGCACAAUGGGCGAAAGCCUGAUGCAGCAACGCCGCGUGAGCGAUGAAGGCCUUCGGGUCGUAAAGCUCUGUCCUCAAGGAAGAUAAUGACGGUACUUGAGGAGG
rnacentral:rRNA from 1 species